GAGUUUUGAGGGAAUAAAGAGAAUUUUUCAAAUUUUUGUAAUUUUAAUUUUUUUCAUUGAUAGAUAUUAUGAAGAUUUAAAUUAAGAACCAGGGAAUCUAAAUAGAUUUGAACUUAUGAGUUUAUAUUGAGGACUAGGAAUCCUGAAUAGAUUAAUGUAAACUUUCUACACUUGGUCUAAAUAGUAGUAUGAAUAGGACUUGAAAACAGUAAUAUAUCCAAGCUAAGAGCCAUGCAUAUCUAUCUCAAAUAAUUUCCAGUGAACUUAGAAAUACCAACAUUGGCUGAGUUGCUAAA
rnacentral:misc_RNA from 1 species